AUUGAACGCUGGCGGCAGGCCUAACACAUGCAAGUCGAACGGUAACAGGAAGAACCUUGCUUCUUUGCUAACGAGUGGCGGACGGGUGAGUAAUGUCUGGGAAACUGCCUGAUGGAGGGGGAUAACUACUGGAAACGGUAGCUAAUACCGCAUAACGUCGCAAGCCCAAAAAGGGGGACUUUCGGGCCCCUUGCCAUCGGAUGUGCCCAGAUGGGAUUAGCUAGUAGGUGGGGUAACGGCUCACCUAGGCGACGAUCCCUAGCUGGUCUGAGAGGAUGACCAGCCACACUGGAACUGAGACACGGUCCAGACUCCUACGGGAGGCAGCAGUGGGGAAUAUUGCACAAUGGGCGCAAGCCUGAUGCAGCCAUGCCGCGUGUAUGAAGAAGGCCUUCGGGUUGUAAAGUACUUUCAGCGGGGAGGAAGGGAGUAAAGUUAAUACCUUUGCUCAUUGACGUUACCCGCAGAAGAAGCACCGGCUAACUCCGUG
rnacentral:rRNA from 1 species